CCUACGGGUGGCAGCAGUGGGGGAUAUUGCACAAUGGGGGAAACCCUGAUGCAGCGACGCCGCGUGGGCGAAGAAGUAUUUCGGUAUGUAAAGCCCUAUCAGCAGGGAAGAAGAAAUGACGGUACCUGAGUAAGAAGCACCGGCUAAAUACGUGCCAGCAGCCGCGGUAAUACGUAUGGUGCAAGCGUUAUCCGGAUUUACUGGGUGUAAAGGGCGUGUAGCCGGGCUGACAAGUCAGAUGUGAAAUUCCGGGGCUCAACCCCGGACCUGCAUUUGAAACUGUUGGUCUUGAGUAUCGGAGAGGCAGGCGGAAUUCCUAGUGUAGCGGUGAAAUGCGUAGAUAUUAGGAGGAACACCAGUGGCGAAGGCGGCCUGCUGGACGACAACUGACGGUGAGGCGCGAAAGCGUGGGGAGCAAACAGGAUUAGAUACCCUUGUAGUC
rnacentral:rRNA from 1 species